rnacentral:rRNA from 1 species
GACUCUCGGCAACGGAUAUCUUGGUCCUCGCAUCGAUGAAGAACGUAGCGAAAUGCGAUACUUGGUGUGAAUUGCAGAAUCCCGUGAACCAUCGAGUUUUUGAACGCAAGUUGCGCCCUAAGCUUCCGGGCCGAGGGCAAGUCUGCGUGGGCGUCAAGUU